rnacentral:lncRNA from 1 species
AAGAAGCUCGAACAAAUUGGAAUCUAAGAGUUUGAUCAUGAUUGACACACAAGCUUCAAAUACAGGUAGCAUUCUCAGUAAUUACAUCUUAGACAUAGAUCUUUGAAAUUUGGUUCUAAACUAAGUACAACACAAUAUGAUGUGUCAUUACUUACACUACUUACCACUUGCAAAUUUUCUUAGGAGAAUAAGAUUUAUCUAAACAAUUUCUUCCGCCACUCGAUCUCUGACUUCAACGACUUGUUCCUGUUCCUGAUCAACUUCUUGAAUUUUGACAGAGGUCGCAUUUAUUUCAACUAUUCCCAGCACAUGCAGGUAAACAAUAAGCAUUUCAUAGUGACGUCCUUUCUAUCAGUGAUGCCCAGAAUAUACUAUUUCUUAUACGUAUGACAUAAUAAUUAAUUCAAAGGUCCAUGUGCAUAUAUUAUUUACUAACACAAUGAUCUUCACUCGCGAAUCAGCUAAAUAGCACACUUAAGGAGUUCGAUCACAACGACUUUUAUUACCGAGAACUAAUCGUAUUUCAAAAGCAAGUGAUGCUCAGGGGAGUGCCGAUCGCAGAAAGUGAAGGUUUAUCAUAUAGAGCGGUUUUUGUUCCUACAUGAUGAAUUAUGCAUAUUCAUGACCGCAAGUUGACGGCACCACAAUCACUACAUGCAGCCGGAAUUACAGCCGAUCCAUACAUGCAGCCCGCUAAGUAUCACUACAUGAUUCGCAUGGUCGUUUAGAUUACUUAAAACCUAAAACAUCAAUUCCUAAUCCAAUUCGACAUCAGCCUCUUCCUCAUCCCUCUCAAACACAGACCCACAAGAAGCAGCAGCAGCAGCAGCUGCAGCUGCAGGCAGUGUGUUCACCGCAAAAUGUGUUAUUCAUAGAAGAUCCAUUACAGAACCAAUUUGUUGGGACUCAGCAAAGAUACAAAGGAAAGUAAGAAACUAUAUGCAUAUCUCAAGAUCAAGAGAACCAAGAACAUAUAUAUGUAUUCUACUCGUCGACAUCGAGAAGGACCUGAUCACUUGCGGAGGAUCCGACGAGCCGCAGACGCGACCGAAGCCGUCCGAUCGCCGUCCGAUCCCGGAUCGGACUCGUCGCGCACCCAGCCGACGGUUUUCUGGGCUUCGAGAACGAUCUGGGAGAUCCCUGAGACGCAGAGAGAAAGCCCUAGAAAGUUGAGAUAACUCAAGAAGGAGAAGGGUGGGGGGUGGGGGAGGGGUUGGAGAAGGGGGGAGACCUUGUUCGACGGUUUGGCGAUUUUGGUU